AGGCCUGUCACUUUCUUGUCACGUAGCGAGAAGAUUGUGUGCCGAUAUCGGUCUCGACCGUCCCUUCUUGUUGCGGACCUACCAAACAUUAAACCACUGCCAGGCAGUCGUCGAAGGCUUCGACACUAACCUGUACGACGCGUGCUUUGAAAACGUCGCAUAGUACCAACAACGACGCGACCAUCGCUCUCGAGAAUUGCUGCUGUCGCAGAUGUGUCGAGGCAAGCGCCACAUGGUGGUGCUGCAAGAAACCGAGCGGUGUGUGCGGUGUGCAUGAUCCGCCGUAAUUGGUUGGCCUAUUCGGCAACGGAACAGUCAGGCAACAGCUCCCACAUUCACGAAACCUGCAAGUCUGCAGUUAUGGAUUCUGGCUGCCAUUCCCACACUAGUGCUGUCGGAAGAUGGGUCAAGCCCGGCAAAUGUGCAUCAGAGCUUCGCCGACGCAGCCUUUCGAGGCUGUGAGCAACUGUUGACACUCUAUUGGAACCACGCCAGGGCCAUGCAAAGUCGAGGUUAUCUGCACCCAUUGAGAGUCUGCAGCAAAGUGAAGACCGGCGCUGCUUGUCUGGAGAACAAUCCGUCAAAACAGGGUGUUCCACACUGCGCCCAGCAGCACGUUCCAGCUACACCGUGACCUGGUGCCCCGAUUAAAUUUCAAUCUCAUGAUGUUCACAGAGUCGUUUGGCUGGUUGAAACACUUAAUGGGCCAUAUCAAGGAGUGCCACGCUUAGUGAUACAGCAUUUCUUGCCUAAGUCUGCUUUGGGGGGGCUUGUGUUGGCUGCAUUUUACUUGUAGCACGAACAGCCGGCCCGUAUUGUCAGGCUGGGAACAGCUGCCUCACACAUUCUCCGAAGGUUUGGUCCAGACUAGCCGAGAUCACAGUGGCUGCGACGAACUGGCCAGGCACCUGACGACCAGUGCUCCCUUGGAAAGUAGCGACGCGCCAGACCAAAACAACUU